UGAUUGUAGUUUGUUUAAAUUUUGAUAUUGCAUAUCAUUUAAGGAGAAUUUUAUGGGUAAUAAAAAAUAGAAAGAAAAAGAAGAGGAUUAGUUUGUUUUAUUGUUUCAAAAUAAAAAAUAUUAAUUUUAGUGUUGAUAAGUCGCUUUUUCUGAUAUCUGUAUUUAUGUUUAAUAUUAGAAAUUUAUAUUUUAUAUAAGUAUUUAGGAUUAAAUAGAAUUUGAAGUUUUUUUAUUAUUAGUUUUAUAACUGUUGUUUUUGUUUAGAGUAGGUAAAUUUUUUUUUUAAUAGAUUUUUAUUAAAUUUAUAAUUUUGAGAUUAGUAGUUUUUGUUAAGUAGUUGAUUUGUUGAAUAUGAAUUUUGAAAUUGAAAUUCGAUCAAAUGUUUUUUAAAAACUUAGACUUUUGAAUAAAGUUGGCUUCUGCCCGGUGAAUUUUUAACGGCAGUCUUAGCGUGAGGACAUUAAGGUAGCAAAAUGAUUUGUGCUUUUAUUGGGUUCCAGUAUGAAUGGAGUUAUUGGUUGAUUUUUUAUUUUUUUUUUUUAUGAAUUUAGGUAAGUAUAAGAAUGUGCUUUUACAAUUAUACAAAGAUAAGUCUUUGGAAAUUCUUUUUUAAUGUUAUAGUGGUUAUAUAUUAUUAAAAAAUUUUCUAGGGUAGAAUAUUAUAUAGUUUAGAGAGCUACAGGUAGGUUUAGGAAUUACUCCAGAGUUAACAGAAAAUCAUACUUAAUCUAGUUCUUAUAGUAGAGUAAGUUUUACAUCGAUGUUGUAUUUAGAUAUAUUAAAGGGGAGAAGAUUUAAUUUUUAAGACUGUUCUUCUUUUAAUUAAUUUAACGUGAUAUUAGUUUAAUUCAUCGUGAGAUAGAAUUGUUUAUCUUGAUAAUUGUUAAUGUUUAAUUUUAUUAGUACGAAAGGAAUAUUUUAAAAGUUUAAAACUUUUUGAACAGGGGAUGUUCU
rnacentral:rRNA from 1 species